CACUAUCAUUACCUGAAUACAUAGGGUAAUGAAGCGAACCGGGAGAACUGAAACAUCUAAGUACCCCGAGGAAAAGAAAUCAAACGAGAUUCCCCCAGUAGCGGCGAGCGAACGGGGAGCAGCCCAGGACCUUAAUCAGCAUCAGUGUUAAGAGAACAGUCUGGAAAGGCUGGCCACAGCAGGUGAUAGCCCUGUAUCUGAAAGCACUGGUGUUGUGAGUCCGAUGAGUAAGGCGGGACACGUGUUAUCCUGUCUGAAUACGGGGGGACCAUCCUCCAAGGCUAAAUACUCCUGACUGACCGAUAGUGAACCAGUACCGUGAGGGAAAGGCGAAAAGAACCCCGGCGAGGGGAGUGAAAAAGAACCUGAAACCGUGUACGUACAAGCAGUGGGAGCACC
rnacentral:rRNA from 1 species